AUGGUUAAACAAUAUGCUUAUACUCUUUCCCUGUAUCUCUCUCACAUACACACACUCUUUCAUUCCGCCUCCGGCCGUCUCACCUCCGGCCAUUCAUAUUCGAUUAUCUCCAUGUCGUUGACUACAUCUGGUUUAACAAAAUAUGUGUUUCCACAAUCUCAUGUAGGGACGGUGUCUCAGCUCAUAGCCGGUGGUGUUGUUGGAGCCGUUAGCAAGACCUGCACUGCACCUCUAGCUCGCCUCACUAUACUUUUUCAGGUGCAAGGUAUGCAUUCUGAUGCUUCUACAUUAAGAAAAGCCAAUAUAUGGCUUGAAGCAACAUGUAUAGUCAAUGAAGCAAAGGCAUGGUCAAAUUUAAAGAGCUUUUUACAUAGAAAAAGCCUGCAGAGUUGGAGAGUCUGGCAUCCUGAAUCUUUUGGAUGUGGUGGUUUAGCUUAGCUGCUUCUGUCACAUACCCUUUGGAUCUUGUAAGAACACGCCUUUCAGCACAGGGUGUUGAUGGUGGAAAUAUAAUUUCAAAUUUACGAAGUGGUGUGGCAGCUGAAAAAGCGUUGGCCAUAAGAGAAGGGUUUCUCUAA